rnacentral:rRNA from 1 species
UGGCAAACGGGUGCGUAACGCGUAAGCAACCUACCUCAAACUGGGGGAUAGCCCGGCGAAAGCUGGGGUAAACCCGCACGGUCCUGUGGGGUUUCAUGACCUGACAGGUAAACAUUUAUGGGUUUGAGAGGGGCUUGCGUCUGAUUAGUUAGUUGGCGGGGUAACGGCCCACCAAGACGAUGAUCAGUAGGGGUUCUGAGAGGAUUGGCCCCCACAUGGGUACUGAGAUACGGACCCAACUCCUACGGGAGGCAGCAGUAGGGAAUAUUGGGCAAUGGAGGCAACUCUGACCCAGCCAUGCCGCGUGCAGGAUGAAGGCGCUCAGCGUUGUAAACUGCUUUUAUUGGUGAAGAACUAUAGGCCUGCGGGCUUAUUUGACGGUAGCCAAGGAAUAAGCACCGGCUAACUCCGUGCCAGCAGCCGCGGUAAUACGGAGGGUGCAAGCGUUGUCCGGAUUUAUUGGGUUUAAAGGGUGCGUAGGUGGUUUUUUAAGUCUGGUUUGAAAGCAGGCGGCUUAACCGUCUGAUGUGGCUGGAAAC